rnacentral:rRNA from 1 species
AGUGAAGCGGCAACAGCUCAAAUUUGAAAUCUGGCCCUAGGCCCGAGUUGUAAUUUGCAGAGGAUGCUUCGGGCGCGGUGCCUUCCAAGUCCCCUGGAACGGGGCGCCGGAGAGGGUGAGAGCCCCGUACGGUUGGCGGCCAAGCCUGUGUGAAGCUCCUUCGACGAGUCGAGUAGUUUGGGAAUGCUGCUCUAAGCGGGAGGUAGACCCCUUCUAAAGCUAAAUAUAGGCCAGAGACCGAUAGCGCACAAGUAGAGUGAUCGAAAGAUGAAAAGCACUUUGAAAAGAGGGUUAAAUAGCACGUGAAAUUGUUGAAAGGGAAGCGCUUGUGACCAGACGUGCGCCGGGGUGUUCAGCGGGCGUUCUCGCCCGUGCACUCGCCUCGGCGCAGGCCAGCGUCGGUUCGAGUGGGAGGAUAAAGGCGUCUGGAAUGUGGCUCCUCCGGGAGUGUUAUAGCCAGACGUGCCAUGCUCCCGCCCGGACCGAGGUACGCGUUCUGCAAGGACGCUGGCGUAAUGGUCUCCAGCGACCCGUCUUGAAACACGGACCAAGGAGUCGAGGUUUUGCGCGAGUGUUUGGGUGUUAAACCCGCACGCGUAAUGAAAGUGAACGUAGGUGGGAGCUUCGGCGCACCACCGACCGAUCCUGAUGUUUUCGGAUGGAUUUGAGUAAGAGCGUAGGGCCUCGGACCCGAAAGAUGGUGAACUAUGCUUGGAUAGGGUGAAGCCAGAGGAAACUCUGGUGGAGGCUCGCAGCGGUUCUGACGUGCAAAUCGAUCGUCAAAUCUGAGCAUGGGGGCGAAAGACUAAUCGAACCAUCUAGUAGCUGGUUACCGCCGAAGUUCCCUCAGGAUAGCAGUGUUGUUCUUCAGUUUUAUGAGGUAAAGCGAAUGAUUAGGGACUCGGGGG